rnacentral:rRNA from 1 species
UACAGAGGUGGCAAGCGUUGUUCGGAAUUACUGGGCGUAAAGGGCGCGUAGGCGGCCUUGUAAGUCCUGUGUGAAAUCCCCCGGCUCAACUGGGGAACUGCACAGGAGACUGCUUGGCUUGAGUUCGGGAGAGGGAAGCGGAAUUCCGGGUGUAGCGGUGAAAUGCGCAGAUAUCCGGAGGAACACCGGUGGCGAAGGCGGCUUCCUGGACCGACACUGACGCUGAGGCGCGAAGGCCAGGGGAGCAAACGGG